rnacentral:ncRNA from 1 species
CUCAAGGAGUGUUAUAUCAAACGAAAGUAGUUGAGCAAUUGCAAAAUACGAAAUCGGACACAAUGAAUUGAGAA